GGGUCCUCAGCCCCUGCAGAGAAUGGCCGGGGCGGGUGGUGUGGGCAAGGACUUGUGCGAGAGGGUGUCCUAGCUAGAGCCCGAGAGUGGCUGCUCAGAGAGCCUUCUAAAGCUGGCUGCAGCUGAGGGCGACAGGAGGGUGCGCCCCAGAGACUCUGGACAUCUCCUUCCGGACGCGAGCAGCCCUCGACUGUGCAGUCCCAGUGGAGAGCGGGACGCAGGUGGACCCUAAUUGUCAUCACAAAUGUCCUUACAGGAGAGGAGUAAAGGGAGAUUUGAUACACACGAAGGAGAAAACGUGAAGAAGGAACAGAGAGAGGUGUGAAGAUGCUGGCCUUGAAAACAGGAGUAAUAUGUCCCCAAGGCAAGGAACAGAUUUUCUCCUAGAGCCUCUAAAAGGACUACAGCCCUGUUAACAUCUUGAUUUUGGUCCAGUGAAACUGAUUUUACAUGUCUGGCCUCCAAGAUUGUGAGAGAAUAUGUGCCUGAUGUUUUAAGCCACCAAGUAUGCAGUAAUUUGUUAUAGCAGCCACAAGAAAUGAAUGCACCAAAAUACCACUAGAAAGACAAGCCAUUCCUUGAUGCUCCUGGUGGUUGCCAGCAAUCUUUGGCCUCCCUUUGACAUUCAUCGGUUUGUAGAUGUUUUGCUCCAAUUCCUGCUGGCAUCACAUGGCAUUCUUCUGGUCUUGUCUUAUUGCAUUGCUAAGACAUCCAGCAUGGUGUUGCAGAGAAGUGACAGAGGACUUGUUCCCUUCUUAAGGAGAGAUGUAUUUAGACUCAUCAUGAGAAUAAUGUGAGCUGAAGCUUUUCAGAGAUUUCCUUUUUUAUAUAAUCUAUUUCAAUUAUCCCAUUAGGCUUAGUGUUUGGGUAGAAUCGUCUACAUUUACAGAUGAGAAUACUGAGGUUCAAAGAUGUUAUCUAAAUUGCCCACAGUCAUACAGCUAGCAAGAGGCAAUCAAGACCAUGAUUCCAGUGCUGUUUCAACUGUAUCAAUGAUUCCAUUUGUCAAGUGUCUGGUGCUUUAUUCCUUAUAAAUCAUUCACUUAGGAAAUAAUUAUUGAGCUCAUACCAUGUGCUAUACUUUAAAGGUGCAAAGCACUGAACAAAAGUUAUUUAUUUGUAUUAAUAAGUUUUAAAAUUGAGAUGAUACCCAUGAAAUGUUUUAAGAAAGAUUUGCAAGAG
rnacentral:lncRNA from 13 species